UAUCGACAACCUGUUUGUUGCCUCCAAUCUUUGAUUUUCUCAUCAGAGGCCCCCAGCUGGCUCCCCACAUCUGAAGGCAGCCAACAGAAAUCAAAGGGAUGGUCCCCUUCUGCUCAGAAGAAAUAGAAGAAAAGCAACUUCCAUAAAAACAGACUUGGGAGGAAUCCACGGCAGGGAGAAGAAAGUGGGGAGAUCAUUCCUGGACAUGGCUUCUAGGGGUUGGCGGUACCUUCCAAGAUAACGCCAAUCAGGGUCAUAGUGGCUGCCUCCCUCCCACCCAGGAGACGCCCAGGCUGCCCUAUGGAUUUUCAGGCUCCUGGUCACUGGCUCUCUGCAGGAAGUCAGUUGUGCAUUUGCACUGGAAUGAGUGCUUAGGGCAAAGGCACCAAGCUGUCACUGGUUAAUAUUUCUUUGGAGUAGAAGCAGGUACACAUCAAAUCUGCUGUGUGUGGCCCUUCACAUCUCCUGAGCUUUCUAACACUCCUGGUGACAUAGGAGUGAUUUACCAAAGGCAAAGGGCAUUUGUGUUACACCGAGGGUCUGUUUCCACCUUGGAUCCCCGGUCUUCCUGUGUGAGUCUGGAGGCCUGCAUCCUUGUUCUCAGAAACUGUGGUUUCAGGGGCCACCUUAUUCCCCAGGCUGAUCCUCCCAGGUGCUCGGCUGCUGCCUGACUGGGGCCAUCACUUCUGGAGUUUGAACUGCAGAUUAUUCGUCAGAAUCUUUGUGAUGCCCUGAUGCCCUGCUCAGAGCUAUCAUUUACCAAGCAUUGAUUCUUGCAAGGUGUUUACAUAUGUCAUCUAACUUAAUCCUCACAGGGAUCCUGUGCUCACUUUACGAGAAAGGAAUUCUGUCCACGCCGGCCACGUUCACCCAAACUGACCCAUGUAGACCCAGCUAAAGAUUUGUCAGGGCUUGGGGAGGAAACGAAAUGAAGUUCAAUGGAAUCAAAGUAGCCUGAGUGGUGUGAAGUGAGCUGAUGUCAGCAGUGGUUCCCCACGCAGCUUGCCACCGUCUCCCAUAGCACAUCUCCUUGGACUGGCGGGACAGGCACAAGAAGGAGCAAUGGGGUUAAGUGGACAAGAAGGAAUGGUGGUUAAGCGCCUAAGGUAACAGAUUGGAGUCAUCUUGAAUCACAGAUGACCAGCGGUGAAGACCACCUGGUACAAUGAUGGUCCCUCUUGUUAAGGAAGAAGCAGUGAAAAACGGUGAAAGAGCAUAUGAAUCUAGUCUACUCAAGUUUGGAGGAGGGGAUGAAGAUUCUUUCCAGAAGCUCCAACCUUGACGAGAGAGUAGGAAAUACGUCUCCGCUUUGACAGGAACAAUGUGUGACAUGAAAGACCUCAGAUGCUGUGCAGGUUUGUGACGGUUCUUCAGAAGAAAGCAUCCCCUGCC